rnacentral:rRNA from 2 species
ACAAUGGUAGGAGAGCGUUCUAAGGGCGUUGAAGCAUGAUCGUAAGGACAUGUGGAGCGCUUAGAAGUGAGAAUGCCGGUGUGAGUAGCGAAAGAUGGGUGAGAAUCCCGUCCACCGAUUGACUAAGGUUUCCAGAGGAAGGCUCGUCCGCUCUGGGUUAGUCGGGUCCUAAGCUGAGGCCGACAGGCGUAGGCGAUGGAUAACAGGUUGAUAUUCCUGUACCACCUAUAAUCGUUUUAAUCGAUGGGGGGGACGCAGUAGGAUAGGCGAAGCGUGCGAUUGGAUUGCACGUCUAAGCAGUAAGGCUGAGUAUUAGGCAAAUCCGGUACUCGUUAAGGCUGAGCUGUGAUGGGGAGAAGACAUUGUGUCUUCGAGUCGUUGAUUUCACACUGCCGAGAAAAGUCUCUAGAUAGAAAAUAGGUGCCCGUACCGCAAACCGACACAGGUAGUCAAGAUGAGAAUUCUAAGGUGAGCGAGCGAACUCUCGUUAAGGAACUCGGCAAAAUGACCCCGUAACUUCGGGAGAAGGGGUGCUCUUUAGGGUUAACGCCCAGAAGAGCCGCAGUGAAUAGGCCCAAGCGACUGUUUAUCAAAAACACAGGUCUCUGCUAAACCGUAAGGUGAUGUAUAGGGGCUGACGCCUGCCCGGUGCUGGAAGGUUAAGAGGAGUGGUUAGCUUCUGCGAAGCUACGAAUCGAAGCCCCAGUAAACGGCGGCCGUAACUAUAACGGUCCUAAGGUAGCGAAAUUCCUUGUCGGGUAAGUUCCGACCCGCACGAAAGGCGUAACGAUUUGGGCACUGUCUCAACGAGAGACUCGGUGAAAUCAUAGUACCUGUGAAGAUGCAGGUUACCCGCGACAGGACGGAAAGACCCCGUGGAGCUUUACUGUAGCCUGAUAUUGAAAUUCGGCACAGCUUGUACAGGAUAGGUAGGAGCCUUUGAAACGUGAGCGCUAGCUUACGUGGAGGCGCUGGUGGGAUACUACCCUAGCUGUGUUGGCUUUCUAACCCGCACCACUUAUCGUGGUGGGAGACAGUGUCAGGCGGGCAGUUUGACUGGGGCGGUCGCCUCCUAAAAGGUAACGGAGGCGCUCAAAGGUUCCCUCAGAAUGGUUGGAAAUCAUUCAUAGAGUGUAAAGGCAUAAGGGAGCUUGACUGCGAGACCUACAAGUCGAGCAGGGUCGAAAGACGGACUUAGUGAUCCGGUGGUUCCGCAUGGAAGGGCCAUCGCUCAACGGAUAAAAGCUACCCCGGGGAUAACAGGCUUAUCUCCCCCAAGAGUUCACAUCGACGGGGAGGUUUGGCACCUCGAUGUCGGCUCAUCGCAUCCUGGGGCUGUAGUCGGUCCCAAGGGUUGGGCUGUUCGCCCAUUAAAGCGGUACGCGAGCUGGGUUCAGAACGUCGUGAGACAGUUCGGUCCCUAUCCGUCGUGGGCGUAGGAAAUUUGAGAGGAGCUGUCCUUAGUACGAGAGGACCGGGAUGGACAUACCUCUGGUGUACCAGUUGUCGUGCCAACGGCAUAGCUGGGUAGCUAUGUGUGGACGGGAUAAGUGCUGAAAGCAUCUAAGCAUGAAGCCCCCCUCAAGAUGAGAUUUCCCAACUUCGGUUAUAAGAUCCCUCAAAGAUGAUGAGGUUAAUAGGUUCGAGGUGGAAGCAUGGUGACAUGUGGAGCUGACGAAUACUAAUCGAUCGAAGACUUAAUCAA